GGGUGAAAAAAGUGUUUUUGCAUCCUUUCUGCCAAAGGAUAGCUGCUUUGGUUUGUGCAAAUCUAUUUAUAACUCAGAAAAAUAAAUGAAAUUUAGCCUAGGCCCAUAAGUACACCGCCCAACGGUGGGUUGCACCGCCCGACGGUAAGCACGACACUUGGUAUCACCCCUCAGCACUGUCGCUUGGGCGUCCUCUAGAGAUCCCACUAAAGAGUCCACUGCUCAGCGGUGGGUUGCACCGCCCGACGGUCUAUGCGAUUCUCAUCUCACCCCUAAGUGGUGCCUCUUAAGCGCGUGACAAGAAUUCAUUGAAGGUCACACCACCCGACAGUGGUUGUGAUUCUUCUUUUCUUCAAUUUUCCACCUUCUUUUGCAUCCAAUACUUCUCUUCCUUCACUUCCUUCAUCAAGCUCCUGAUAAAUCCUACCAAAAUAAGGGAAAACCAAGCAUAAAACCAAGAAAACCUACUUUGACUCUCUUAUUCUUUAACUUCAGC
rnacentral:lncRNA from 1 species